rnacentral:rRNA from 1 species
AGAGUUUGAUCAUGGCUCAGAUCAACGCUGGCGGCGCGCUUAACACAUGCAAGUCGCACGAGAAAGUGGAGCAAUCCAUGAGUAAAGUGGCGUACGGGUGAGUAACACGUGGAUCAUCUACCUCUUAGUGGGGAAUAACCCUGGGAAACCGGGGCUAAUACCGCAUAAGCCUGAAAAGGGAAAGCAGCAAUGCGCUGAGAGAGGAGUCCGCGGCCGAUUAGCUAGUUGGUAGGGUAAAGGCCUACCAAGGCAAUGAUCGGUAGCCGGCCUGAGAGGGCACACGGCCACACUGGCACUGAAACACGGGCCAGACUCCUACGGGAGGCAGCAGUGGGGAAUCUUGCACAAUGGAGGAAACUCUGAUGCAGCGACGCCGCGUGAGCGAUGAAGCCCUUCGGGGUGUAAAGCUCUUUCGACGGGAACGAUAAUGACGGUACCCGGAGAAGAAGCUGCGGCUAACUACGUGCCAGCAGCCGCGGUAAUACGUAGGCAGCAAGCGUUGUUCGGAAUUACUGGGCGUAAAGAGUGUGUAGGCGGUUCUCUAUGUUCGGUGUGAAAUCUCCCGGCUUAACUGGGAGGGUGCGCCGAAAACUGGAGGGCUUGAGUAUGGGAGAGGAAAGCGGAAUUCCUGGUGUAGCGGUGAAAUGCGUAGAUAUCAGGAGGAACACCUGCGGUGUAGACGGCUUUCUGGACCAUCACUGACGCUGAGACACGAAAGCGUGGGUAGCAAACAGGAUUAGAUACCCUAGUAGUCC